rnacentral:sRNA from 1 species
GGGAGGGGAGUUCGGUAUGGUGGGUUCGGUUCGCCUUGAAUCCCGAGCCGGAAACGGCCAAGACGAGGACGACUUGGGGCGGAAGCGCCGCUGCCAUCAAAUCAUUUUGCAAGCGGAAAAUGGCGCUUGACAACGUACUUCAGCCCCCGACGAGUCAUUGUUGUUUGCCAACGGGGCAUGGCCAGAAUUUGCGGCGCUCUAUAAAAAAUUGCAAACAUUUCCAGGCAAAUCGGAGCAAAAACUCC